rnacentral:rRNA from 1 species
UACGUAGGGCGCAAGCGUUGUCCGGAAUUAUUGGGCGUAAAGAGCUCGUAGGCGGCCAGUUGCGUCUGCUGUGAAAUCCCGGGGCUCAACCCCGGGCGUGCAGUGGAUACGGGCUGGCUAGAGGCAGGCAGGGGAGAACGGAAUUCCCGGUGUAGCGGUGAAAUGCGCAGAUAUCAGGAGGAACACCGGUGGCGAAGGCGGGUCUCUGGGCCGAUACUGACGCUGAGGAGCGAAAGCGUGGGGAGCGAACAGG